UCCAUGAAGACCAAACUGCUGGGUAAUACCCAGUGCGAGCGAUCGUGAGGAUAGUGCCACAGAAACAUACCGCCGAUGGAGCUUAGCUCACAGGUAAGGGUGCAAGGGUGCGGUAAGAGCGCACCAGCAGAGCCGAGAGGCUCUGGCUAGGUAAACCCCAGUUGGAAGCAAGGCGAGAGGGUUCAAGAAUACUGGUCUUUAUUUUCUUGUCCCGUUGCCUAACCUGAGUUGUGGCGCAAGCCCGACACAGCGAUUAGGAGUGAGCCGCUUGAGGUGGUUGGUAACAGCCAUCCCAGAUAGAUAACUACCAGUUGGAAGCGAUUAGCACUAAGCAGUCAGCGGUCAGCCCUAGGCUGAUAGCUGAUAGCUGACCGCCAAGACUAACAGAACCCGGCUUAUGUCCUGCUCUUCAA
rnacentral:RNase_P_RNA from 1 species